rnacentral:RNase_P_RNA from 1 species
CGAGUUGGCUGGGCGGCCGCGGCUCGGGGAACCGACACAACGUUUCGGCGUGAGUGUCAGGCCCCGGAUCGAGGAAAGUCCGGACUCCACAGAGCAGGGCGGUUGUUAACGGCAACCCGAGGUGACUCGCGGGACAGUGCCACAGAAAACAGACCGCCUGCCCUUCGGGGCAGGUCAGGGUGAAACGGUGCGGUAAGAGCGCACCAGCACCCCGGGUGACCGGGGUGGCUAGGUAAACCCCGCCCGGAGCAAGGUUGAAGGCCACACUUGCGAGAGUGGGGCUGCGCAGGUGAUCGAGGGCUGCUCGCCCGAGCCUGCGGGUGAACCGCUCGAGGUACCCGGCGACGGUGUGCCCAGAUGGAUGGUCGCCGCCCGGCGCUUCGGCGCUGGGCACAGGAUCCGGCUUACACGCCGACUCGUCCG